UGUUAAAACUUUCUUCCAUUUUUACUGUUAAAAACAUGCAUGGUUGAUGGAAUAAUCAGAUAAUAACAUGUGACAUGCCGCAUGUGCCUUACGCAGACGUACAAGGACAAAUUUUUAGCAGUAGAAAUGAAUGAAAAUUUUAACA
rfam:Gossypium hirsutum cultivar TM-1 chromosome 26, whole genome shotgun sequence